CAGCAGCCGCGGGAAUACAGAGGGUGCAAGCGUUAAUCGGAAUUACUGGGCGUAAAGCGCGCGUAGGUGGUUUGUUAAGUUGGAUGUGAAAUCCCCGGGCUCAACCUGGGAACUGCAUCCAAAACUGGCAGGCUAGAGUAGGGCAGAGGGUGGUGGAAUUUCCUGUGUAGCGGUGAAAUGCGUAGAUAUAGGAAGGAACACCAGUGGCGAAGGCGACCACCUGGGCUCAUACUGACACUGAGGUGCGAAAGCGUGGGGAGCAAACAGGAUUAGAGACCCCUGUAGUCCCUGUCUCUUAUAC
rnacentral:rRNA from 1 species